UAAUAUCUAAAAAAACCUACCUA
rnacentral:snRNA from 1 species